rnacentral:rRNA from 1 species
GACGAACGCUGGCGGCGUGCCUAAUACAUGCAAGUUGAGCGAUGAAGAUUGGUGCUUGCACCAAUUUGAAGAGCAGCGAACGGGUGAGUAACGCGUGGGGAAUCUGCCUUUGAGCGGGGGACAACAUUUGGAAACGAAUGCUAAUACCGCAUAACAACUUUAAACAUAAGUUUUAAGUUUGAAAGAUGCAAUUGCAUCACUCAAAGAUGAUCCCGCGUUGUAUUAGCUAGUUGGUGAGGUAAAGGCUCACCAAGGCGAUGAUACAUAGCCGACCUGAGAGGGUGAUCGGCCACAUUGGGAAUGAGACACGGCCCAAACUCCUACGGGAGGCAGCAGUAGGGAAUCUUCGGCAAUGGACGAAAGUCUGACCGAGCAACGCCGCGUGAGUGAAGAAGGUUUUCGGAUCGUAAAACUCUGUUGGUAGAGAAGAACGUUGGUGAGAGUGGAAAGCUCAUCAAGUGACGGUAACUACCCAGAAAGGGACGGCUAACUACGUG